CAGGGUGUCAGGCAGAGUGGAAGGAGAGGAGGAGAAGGGAAGUCGGGGACGUCGGUCAUGUCUAGGCGCUGGUGUUCUGGUGGCCCCAGCUAAGAAUUUGGAAGGGUGAAAAGAAAGUUAUUUUUUCUCCCUUACACUGGUAAAAUGAUAGCUGCAAGGAUGUCUGUCACGGGACAAUAAAGUGAAAAAUUUACCAUUCACUAUCUCCAAACUAUUUAGAGGUAUAGGGAGGGCAUUGCUCACAUGAGGAUUGAACACCAGCUUCAGGGUCCCAGUUUGUUAAGGAAAUCGAAGGGUGUGAUCAACAGCUCGUGCACUGCCGUGCUGCGAACCCAGAGUUCAGGCACUGACGUGGCGCUUCUGAUGGGUAGGUACGUGAUGUAACCCUCACUUGUGCUUUGAUUCUGUUACCCGCUUCCACACAAUGGGCUCCCCGCUCAAGGCAGGUGCCUCACUGAAUUUCCCGUGUUAGUGUCUGGUUGGCACUGUGUCUGUCCAUCUAUAUUCAGUUGCUGUAAUUGUUUACUGUGACGAUCAGGAGAGUUCUUGCCCAUGCGAUUGCGUUAUCAGCCUACUUGGUGAGCUCCGAUACCCCUGAGCUCAGUUUAGCUCAAAGCCCAGAAAAGCCUUUGUUUUAACUAGAGCCGAUUCUGCACAUCUGAGAGGUGUGGCACAUAACUCCCGGGCAUGUUUGGGGUUUUAAUCCAGUUUAUACUGGUGCCGUGGAGGGUACGGUCUUAAUGCUCAAGACUGAGCCAAGGCAGGGCUCUUUCAUUAACCUGAGACCUUUAAAAACUACCAAAGUAGCCUGGUACUUUGAUAUCCCUAGAGGUAGGACAGAAUUUCAGGUGAUCCUCUUUGUCCCCCUGGAUUGCUG
rnacentral:lncRNA from 1 species